GGAACAGUUGCAGACUUCUUGAAAGUUUACCGUGGUAGACUCAACAUAUGUGGCUAUUAGAGGCUGGGUUUACAUAUGUCUUACAGUGUUACCCACAAGUUCCCGAGUAAGGUUAUCAUAAAGGACUUCAAGCUUCUGAUAUGUCAAAAAUCACCUACUGGGGUUUGGACACAAUGAGAGAUUAAUAAGCAAACACCUGCCUGAGAAGAUUUCAACUCUGCACUGGAGAAGAUUCUAUGAAUAUCUAUAAAUAUUGUAAAUUAUACAAAAAAACAGGCAUGUAAAGACAAGGAAUGUCUUUUGUUUUGUGAAGGUUUUAUGAAGUGAUGAGUGUCAUACACUUCAUUAUGUUUUACAUGAGUCAAAAUGGCUGUCUCAAGGAAAUGUUUUGUCACAUGUUUCAAACUGAGAAAUGAACUUUAUCAGAAUUUAACUGAGGAAAGGCACCAUAGUGUACACAUGCUUUAUCAACAGUGGUUUCAAUAUGCAGUUAACAUAUUUAAGUGACAUUUUGAUAAGCUGAACAUUCUAACUUGAAGGUGACAAUAAUAAUAUUCUCCAACACAGUGACAAAUUAAAAGCAUUUAUCAAGAAAGCUGGACAUUAGAAGAAUAAUAUGGAAACAAGACAAAUUUAGGUAGAGCUACUUUAAAACAAUUUAUGGACAGUAGUAAUACACAAAUGAGUGAAGAUAUGAACAUUUGCAUUUUAAGUUACCUUUCUACUCUGAAAUUACACUUUUUUCACAUGUGGAAACAGAAGAAAAUGACUGGAUAAGAGCCCACUUUAUGCUGAACUGAGAGCUGGCACACUUGCUACUACUUACAAGAAGCAAUGCAUUGAUGUUUCUUCUGCCGCUUUGAAAAUAAAAUUCCCAACAAUUGUAUCUCCCUGCAUUUUGGAGCAGCAUGAGUACAAAGUGAGAAAGUUAUGAGCAUUCUGAUUCAAUUUAUAACAUCUAAUUUGUGUGAGUUUGAAUUUUACAGUUGCUGCUAUAAAG